UUUUCUAUAACACUCACCUCUUGAACUUGUUGGAUUGAUAUCCCUGCCUCUGGAUUAGUGCUUCUUUUCGACUUAUCAUCUGUGUCAUCGGAGAACAAGGUGGUACUGGUCUUGUUGGCAUCACUUGGGUCUGAUGCUACCAGGUCAAAGUCAUAAUUUAAAAUGUUGUUCUCUACAAGUCCAAGCUGCCAGCAUAGAAUAAAACACUCAUUUCAAAGAUCUAAGUUGUGCAUUAGAAAACUUAGAGAAAAGUAUUGUACAACGGAAAAAUGCAAAUGACCAUGCACAGUAUGCAAUCAAGCUAGAGUAAAGGGGAGAGGUUACCCCAACAUUUUAUAUUCCCUUUAUGGUUCUUGCAUGUGAAGUCUCGUAGUAGAUCUAGGUGGAUAGUCCCCAUUUCCACAUUCUUCACAUAUGAUGAAAUCAUGUAGCAUUUUGUAAGGCAACAAUCAUAAGGUUCAUGCUUUCAUGAUCAUUUUAUUCAAUUUUAACUCACCUAAGAGUAGUCAAUGACAAAUUUACAAAUAUCGUCAGGCAUGCCAUGUUUAGAACACUUUAUUUUAUUUUAUUGAUAGCAAAACAAAAUCUUUUAAGUGUAAAAAGAAAGAGGAUAGCACAUCCUCAUCACAGAAAUAAGACAACAGAUAAGAAGUGAAAACAGGAGAUUCGAUCUUGUAACAAGGCAUGCCAAUCUCACUGUGUAUCAGCAUACAUCUUGUAUUGCCUAUCGUUAACUACAGUACUUGGAAACUAAUAAUGUUAUGGAUAAACACAAUAUGGUGAACAUCCAUGAAUAAGAAGUUGGGAAAUUAAUACCAUGCGUCUCCUUCUCCACAUGUGCGUCCACAAAUUUAAUAAUUCAUUAGUACGUAAAGGCUUUACGAGGUAGUCGGCUGCUCCGAGUCUCAGACACUUAACAACAACAGAUACCUCAUCUUGUGCAGACAUCACUUAACAAAAACAUUAAAGACAUUGGUGAGGAACAGAAAAUAGUUUGGCUACAUAAAGAGUCUCACAGGUUGGUUACAAGAUAAAGAACCAAAGCUUACUUAUAACAGGAAUUCGGCGUAAUUCAUUAUCUCGCGCUAUGUACUUCAACAUCUUCAUUCCCAUCUUUAUUGGAAGGUCAACUUCAGCUAGUAUGAUAUCUAUAUGCUGUUCCUCAGCAUUCAGUGCAUCAAUCACUUGCCUUACUGACUUUACUGAAGUAACUGUAACACAUACAAAUCUCCAGUGUGUAGAAAUCUCAGAGAGCAUGCCAGCAUUUGCAGAAGUUUUACAUUAUACAAGCCAAACAGGAAUCAGAAAGCAUUCAAGAUAAUUUCAUUUAUAAACAUGGUGCACCUGAGUCGGCAUGCUGCUCCAAUCAUAUUUUUUGGUUUCCCACAGCUAUCCUCGCACUGGAGGCACUCCUGUCCGAGUUGGGAACAUACACAGCACUAAAGCAGAUCUCUAAAGCAUUAACAAAAUGUACUUAUUUUAAUUUUUCUUGAAUGUGGAGAGAAAGUAUAGGCCAAAAUUGGCUAAAAGAAGUUGAGAUUUAAAAAGAAAACAAUUUUUUAUAAUAGUUUAUGCAAUUUUAUGGUAUUCAAACAAGUUGACCUAUACUAUCAUAUGAAGUAACUAGUUGGGGAUAAAAUUGUAUAAUUUCAACUUCAAUAAUGGAGGAAAUUAUUAUUCAAUUCUAAAUCUUGGAAAAAUAGCAGCUGAAGGAAAAAUAGGAGCAUACCUGUUCGGCGAUCACUAAUUCCAGGCACACCAGGCUGAUAUUCUGAUACAUGAGCAUCUGGAAUCUCCUCAACAUCAUCAACAGCUACGGCAAUACUAGCCUGAAAAAGGUGAAUGAUACACAAACUGUAAUGUAACAUACAACUAUAACAUCUCUGGUCUGCACUUAAACACCAGCAGCUGGCCCGAAAAGGCAUCAGGGUGAUACUAGAAUUACAUUCAUAUGCACAUGCAAAAAAAAAACACCCACCCUCCUUUUCUGCACUUUUAUGUAAUCCAAUGGUACUAUACAGGUUGUGACUUUUUAAUUUAUGACUUCAAUUUUUGUGAAAAUAGCAUUUUUCCAAUAUAUUACCCAAGAACUUUCAUCAGAACUGUAGCUUAAGAUUCCCUUUGAAAACGCAAAAUUCAUUUACUUUUUACUCAAAAAAUUUACAGUACCUAUGACUUAUAGGGUUUAUAAUGCAAUCACUGUAUUAGCAUCAGAAUUGACAUCUCCUUUUCAUUUGAAAGGUGACAUGGAAAAUGAGAAGCAUGCAAUUAUAAAGAGUGCCACUCUAAAAGGUAGAAUAAUUUGCAAAACAAGCUCAAAGUAGAUUAAAAACACACUUUCUCCAUAUAAUCAAAUUAAUUUCAAGGUUCACCAUGGUGUACAACAGCACAAGGUCAUUAAUUUCUGGCCAUUUUUAACCUAUCACUUUAAUUAUAUAAUCACUGUAGUACUAUUUCAGUUUUUCUAUAACACUCACCUCUUGAACUUGUUGGAUUGAUAUCCCUGCCUCUGGAUUAGUGCUUCUUUUCGACUUAUCAUCUGUGUCAUCGGAGAACAAGGUGGUACUGGUCUUGUUGGCAUCACUUGGGUCUGAUGCUACCAGGUCAAAGUCAUAAUUUAAAAUGUUGUUCUCUACAAGUCCAAGCUGCCAGCAUAGAAUAAAACACUCAUUUCAAAGAUCUAAGUUGUGCAUUAGAAAACUUAGAGAAAAGUAUUGUACAACGGAAAAAUGCAAAUGACCAUGCACAGUAUGCAAUCAAGCUAGAGUAAAGGGGAGAGGUUACCCCAACAUUUUAUAUUCCCUUUAUGGUUCUUGCAUGUGAAGUCUCGUAGUAGAUCUAGGUGGAUAGUCCCCAUUUCCACAUUCUUCACAUAUGAUGAAAUCAUGUAGCAUUUUGUAAGGCAACAAUCAUAAGGUUCAUGCUUUCAUGAUCAUUUUAUUCAAUUUUAACUCACCUAAGAGUAGUCAAUGACAAAUUUACAAAUAUCGUCAGGCAUGCCAUGUUUAGAACACUUUAUUUUAUUUUAUUGAUAGCAAAACAAAAUCUUUUAAGUGUAAAAAGAAAGAGGAUAGCACAUCCUCAUCACAGAAAUAAGACAACAGAUAAGAAGUGAAAACAGGAGAUUCGAUCUUGUAACAAGGCAUGCCAAUCUCACUGUGUAUCAGCAUACAUCUUGUAUUGCCUAUCGUUAACUACAGUACUUGGAAACUAAUAAUGUUAUGGAUAAACACAAUAUGGUGAACAUCCAUGAAUAAGAAGUUGGGAAAUUAAUACCAUG
rnacentral:lncRNA from 1 species